CUUAUGCCGGCGACCGGCGGACGGGUGCGUAACGCGUAUGUAACCUACCUUUGACAGGGGGAUAACAUCGAGAAAUUGGUACUAAUACCCCAUAACAUCACCGGAGGUAUCUUCGGUGGUUGAAAACUCAGGUGGUCAGAGAUGGACAUGCGUUGUAUUAGCUAGUUGGUGAGGUAACGGCUCACCAAGGCGACGAUACAUAGGGGGACUGAGAGGUCAACCCCCCCACAUUGGUACUGAGACACGGACCAAACUCCUACGGAAGGCAGCAG
rnacentral:rRNA from 1 species